rnacentral:rRNA from 1 species
UACGAAGGGGGCUAGCGUUGUUCGGAUUUACUGGGCGUAAAGGGCGCGUAGGCGGCGUGGUAAGUCACUUGUGAAAUCUCUGAGCUUAACUCAGAACGGCCAAGUGAUACUGCUGUGCUAGAGUGCAGAAGGGGCAAUCGGAAUUCUUGGUGUAGCGGUGAAAUGCGUAGAUAUCAAGAGGAACACCUGAGGUGAAGACGGGUUGCUGGGCUGACACUGACGCUGAUGCGCGAAAGCUAGGGGAGCAAACGGG